rnacentral:rRNA from 1 species
GACGGAGGAUGCAAGUGUUAUCCGGAAUCACUGGGCGUAAAGCGUCUGUAGGUGGUUUAAUAAGUCAACUGUUAAAUCUUGAGGCUCAACCUCAAAAUCGCAGUCGAAACUAUUAGGCUAGAGUAUAGUAGGGUAAAGGGAAUUUUCCAGUGGAGCGGUGAAAUGCGCCAGAUAUCAGGAGGAACACCCGAUGGCGAAGGCAGGUCUCUGGGCCACUACUGACCGCUGAGAAGCGAAAGCAUGGGAGCGAACAGG